AUGGGGAUGCCCAUGCUGAAGCGGUUCAUGUCCAUGCAGUCGGAGCGGCGGCAUCGCCAGAUCCGAGCCCGUGCCCGUGCUGGAUGUGUUUCUUCUUCAUUGGCUAAAAGAAAAAAGGAGGUCUGCCAACAUGACGAUGUUUCUCCGAGUGAUAAACGAUUGAGAUGUUCAGGGGUGAACCUUCCAGAGGAUAUCUGGCACCACAUCCAUUCCCUACUGCCACUACGGGAUGCUGCCCGUAUUGCCUGCGUGUCCCGCACCUUUUUACGAUCCUGGAGAUAUUAUCCCAACCUCAUCUUUAAUAGGCAUAUACUGGGCUCAAAUAGCGAUGGACGUGGAAGGGAUUUCAUCAGAACAAUCGACCACGUUCUGAAAAAACACUCAGGUGUUAACGUAAAGAAACUCACACUGGACAUGUAUAAUUUUCCCGAAGUCACCAACGCCUGUCGGCAGCGGCUAGAUGGUUGGCUUCAGAUUACUAUGAGACCAGGGAUUGAAGAAAUAAACCUCCUUAGCCUGGCUAAUGAAGCAUACAUGUUUCCGUGCUGGCUGUUAUCUGAUGAUAGGAUCAAGGACUCAAUUCGGUGUCUCAAUCUCAGCUCUUUUGCUUUCCGCCCCACAGUCAAGCUCAGUCCCUUUAAAUGUCUGGCCAUGUUACGUCUCAAUUAUGUGUGUAUUACUGGGUACGAGUUAGGGUGCCUUGUUUCCAACACUCUUACCCUGGAACGGUUGGAACUUAAUGGUUGUGGCGACUUGGAUUGCCUGAAGAUACCUUCCCAGCUUCAGCGGCUUAGUUGUCUGAUGGUUUCAGGUUGCUUUAGGCUGGAUGUGAUAGAUAUCAAAACCCCGAACCUUCGCGUUAUCAGGUUGGAUGUAGAAAAGGUUAAAAAACUCUCACUUGGAGUAUCAUUGGAACUGAAUGAGCUAUGCAUACACGGUCCAGACUUUGCGAGUUAUGCCCGUUUGAAGCUCCUCUCCAAUGCGCCAAAUGUCGAAAGUCUUUACCUGAAGUUGAUUGAUGAGAGAGACUUCAGUCUCGCUAGUAGUACCGCUUGGACUUCGACGUUUAGCUUGUUACCUCAGCUACGAUCUUGUGCCCUCGGCAGGAUCUGGUAG
rnacentral:rRNA from 1 species